rnacentral:rRNA from 1 species
GACGAACGCUGGCGGCGUGCUUAACACAUGCAAGUCGAACGGAAAGGCCCUGCUUUUGUGGGGUGCUCGAGUGGCGAACGGGUGAGUAACACGUGAGUAACCUGCCCUUGACUUUGGGAUAACUUCAGGAAACUGGGGCUAAUACUGGAUAGGAGCUCCUGCUGCAUGGUGGGGGUUGGAAAGUUUCGGCGGUUGGGGAUGGACUCGCGGCUUAUCAGCUUGUUGGUGGGGUAGUGGCUUACCAAGGCUUUGACGGGUGGCCGGCCUGAGAGGGUGACCGGCCACAUUGGGACUGAGAUACGGCCCAGACUCCUACGGGAGGCAGCAGUGGGGAAUAUUGCACAAUGGGCGGAAGCCUGAUGCAGCAACGCCGCGUGCGGGAUGACGGCCUUCGGGUUGUAAACCGCUUUCGCCUGUGACGAAGCGUGAGUGACGGUAAUGGGUAAAGAAGCACCGGCUAACUACGUG